GCUGGAGCAUAUAACUUACAUUUGUUAAUUUUCAUAAUGUUGAUGUUCGAUACAAUUUAAUAGCAUUCCAUUAGUCCCCCUUUGUGAACAUCACACACACCAGACUCCAUUAAAAAAAUGACAAUUUAAAAACAGGAUUGAGAUCUCGCGAUAAUUGUGACUAGCGGGAGAUCUUGGUUUGUUGUGAUUGGCAGUGCUGGAGGUAAAUGAAGAGAAGCUACUCGGUGGGUCCGAUCAAAACAUGAUGUAUUCUUCUGAGUGAUCUGUCAGUUCAGCUCUGGUAAAACCAGCGAUGUCCGUCGUCAUCCAAACCCGCGGCGAGGCGGGUGGCGGCGUCGCGGCCCACCUGCAGUGCCCCCUCUGCGGCCACUUCUCCAAGAGCCACGCCCACCAGCUGACCCACAUGGCGGCGUCCCACCCGGCCUGCCUGGACGGCGUGGCGGUGGGUCGCCUCGGCAACAUCGUGAUGUACCAGAGCACGGCGCGGCUCUUCCACUGCGCCGACUGCUUCCACACCAGCCGCGACUUCACCAAGCUGUACAAGCACAUCAUCUCCAAACACUGCCUGGACCAGAGGGAGGGCGGCGGCGAGGAGAAGGCGGGGGAGGAUGGCGAGGAGGAGGAGGAGGCCGGGAAAGAUGAAAUAAAGGAGGAGGAAGUGGAGGUGAAAGCGGAGGGAGAUGAGAGUGUGCUGAUGUUUGACGGCGCCGGUUACAACUGUCUGAUCUGCGGCUGGAAGACGAAGCUGAAGGGUCUGGCCGUCAACCACGUGGUGAGGAAGCACGACAUCCCCAAAGCCUACGCCGCGCAGGCCGUGAGGCGGGACGCCGCUACCUUCAAACAGGCGCAGGGCGGUGGCGGGGCGGAGGAGGAGGAGGCGGCCGGGCUGAGCGGGGAGCUGAGCGGCGAGCUCCUGAAGGAGGAGAUGGAGGCCACGGCUAAAGUCGUGCGCUUCAUCUCAAACCGCUUCGUGUGUCUGAUCUGCGGCUGGAAGACCAAACUCAAAGGUUUCGCCAUCAGCCACGUGGUGCGCAGCCACGAUGUGGCUCGCCCCUACGGCUGCAAAGACUGCAGCCGCUCCUUCUUCCUGCCCAGCCGGCUGCAGCAGCACGUCAGCGCCGCCCACCGGCCCGGACGCUACGCCUGCCCCUUCUGCUGCUUCAGGUCGCACUUCCUGGGAGGCUUCAGGAGGCACUGCAGCCGCUGUAACGCCCGGGAGGAGGAGGGAGGGGGAAGGGUCGGGGGGGAGGAAGAGGAGAACGAGGAAGAGGAGGAGGAGAGGAGAGGGGCGAGGAAGAGGAGGAGGACAGUGAGGGUGCAGGAGGAAGACGAGGAGGAGGAAGAAGAGGAGGAGGGGAGAGUGGCGAGGAAAAGAUGGAGGACAGUGAAGGAGGAGGACUGAAAGUUGUUUACACGUUACUGAUGCUAAUGCUAAUGUGAUGCUAACAGUUAAAAGCUACGUCGACGUUUCUGUGUUCAAAACUCAAAACUGUGAGAAACAUUUUGUUCCACUUCAUGAUGAAUAAAAGUUUGUUUUUUAAAUAUAAAGACAUUUCCGGUUCAGGAUGUAUGGAGGGUUUUUAGUGCCAAAUUCUACAUACAAAUUUUAAUUCAUAACUAUUUUUAUUUUUAUACAUAACUAUAUAUAUAUAUAUUUAUUUUUUUGAAUACAUAACCAUAUAUAUAUUAAUACAUAUAUAUAUAUUAUAUAUAUUAAUACAUAACAAUAUAUAUAGU
rnacentral:lncRNA from 1 species